CACCCAGCCCAGUGGUGGUUACUGGAUCAUCAUCCCUUGCUGAGGACAGGUCUGCAUGGGCACUGGUCAGUAAACUGCAGGUAUACUGGCACCACAAUGGGCUCUCAGACAAUUAAACACCUGCCAUAUUGUAGCUGUGAAAAAUGUUAUGUUUCUAACUUGGGCUGAGAAGUAGACAAGAUAUAUACCUCAUGGGGAAAAGAAACUUGCUCCAGGAGUGUCAAGAGCAGGGCAGGCCGGCAGGGCUGUGGCCUCUCCUCCUUUUCCCUCAGCGAUGUCCAGGCGAGGUGGUGGCAGCAAUAAGGUGGGUACUGGCUGGUAAGGGGUCCCAUGGCCCCUGCCCAGGCCGCCCCCAGCACCUCACACCGAGCAACUGCUGGCAGCUGCGGCCUGGUCCUGCCAUGGUGCCUGGCCAGGAUGGGCCACCAAAUGCUGGAGAGGCCGCUGAGAUGGAUCUUCAAAGGGAAAGUCAAUAGGUGCCCCACAUCAUGUAGCCAUUACCGACCUCCACAACUCAUGGUAGGAGAAGCCGGCCUGCUUUGCUAGAUUUUUAUCUCACAUUACCUCUUGUUAAAACACAUCUGGUUUCACCCAGUCCAAGUCUUGAGGUAUUGUGCAAGGGGCUAGAGGAGAGUGUUGCCAUUAGCACCGGGCACACGUUUUGUUGGCAGGUGCAGGAGAAAGUAGCCACAGGAGGAAGCCGAUGCAGCUGUUGCAUUUCCCUCCCUCAGGCCUCGGCCUUGGCUGUGUACUGUGCUUAGCCAUGCACCUGAUCACUGUUUGUGUGACUGAGGGCCCUGUGGCAGCUUGGGGAUCUGCACAGCGACGAUAGUAAUAUUUUGAAUUCUCAAAGUAACAAUUAUCCACAUCCAUCAAGUCCACCAGACAGCCAGGAGGAAUGAAUGAUAACUUGGAGUCUCCUGAACAGCCCCAUUUGUUCCUGACAGUGUGUUAUCUGCAACAUUAAUUUGCCUUGACAGUGCAAUGUGAAAAUAUAAUAAAGUCCAGACG